GAACGUCGUGAGACAGUUCGGUCCCUAUCUGCCGUGGGCGCUGGAGAAUUGAGGGGGGCUGCUCCUAGUACGAGAGGACCGGAGUGGACGCAUCACUGGUGUUCGGGUUGUCAUGCCAAUGGCACUGCCCGGUAGCUAAAUGCGGAAGAGAUAAGUGCUGAAAGCAUCUAAGCACGAAACUUGCCCCGAGAUGAGUUCUCCCUGAGACUUUAGGUCUCCUGAAGGAACGUUGAAGACGACGACGUUGAUAGGCCGGGUGUGUAAGCGCAGCGAUGCGUUGAGCUAACCGGUACUAAUGAACCGUGAGGCUUAACCUUA
rnacentral:rRNA from 1 species